rnacentral:lncRNA from 1 species
GAUUUCCUGUCGACUGAUCUGCAGAGCCUGCGACCCUUGAAAAGUACUGAUGUAUUUAUUGUCUGUCUGUGUAACAGGUGUGAGUGUAUUCCUGUGUCAGAAAGUUGAAGCCAGAAGACCUGGCAGGGAGGGGACUCAGGACUUCAACCUGCUGCUCGGUGGCCACACAGCUGUCAACCCUAUGUGCUGGGACUUAGCUUGGGGCAUGGAUCUGAGGACAUAUGAGAGCCAGUGAAGGUCAAAGUCCUGCCGCCAAUCCUGAUCACCUAAGCUCACCGACUCCCCAGCACCUGCACAGUGGAAGAGAACGACCAGACUCCUGCAAGCUGCCCUCUGCCCUCCAUACAUGUACCUGGGUGUGCAUACACAUAUAGACACACGAGCG